GUCAUGCCGACGGGAAUCAAUUUUGGGGAAGGGGGAUUUUUUUGAACCUAACUCUGAAAUGCACUUCUUCGUUUGGCAGGUUAGCGUCGAUUUUGAACGUUAUAAAAUGAUUGGGGGAAGGUAGCUCUUUCGGGAGUGUUAUAGCCCUUAAUUAAUGUGAUGUUUGGGAUCGAGGAUUGCAACGGAUACCUUUUUAGGCUAGCCGCCUGGCCUCUGAUUCGAUGUUGGGUUAUAGACAGCAUGCUGACUAUGAUCUGAUUAUUGAUCAAAAGGUUAGAGCGAGCAUAAA
rnacentral:rRNA from 1 species